CCUCACUCGCUCCUGCUGGGACUUUGUUUUGAGCAAGUGCAGGAAAGGGGAGGGAACAGAGGGAGGUCCCGUCCCAGGGCUUCAUCCCCAUCAGUGGGUUCCAGGUGUGAGGUGCUGCCUCUCGGCCCCACGGUUGCUGCGGUUCCCGCCUGGUCCUCCGUCUCAUCCAGUCCGUGGGGCUCGAGAUCCUGCAGGGAAAGCCGACUGGGCUCACGUCACCCAGCUGGGUCUCUACCCUUUACGGCCAAGAACCUCGACUGCACCACGGCCCGUCUGGCCGUCCAGGAUCCCAGAACCUGCCCGCUGAGCACAGGUCCUCACGGGAAGGCAGCUCCAGGACUAACAGGACCAUGAUGACUUUCCUUCCACCAAGAACCACGUGGCUGCUGUCUUCUGGGUGCAGAAAUGGGUGCUCAUCACCAGGGAGUCCAGGCAACAGAGGAGGGACCGUCGUUUAACCAAACCUGCAGAUACCAGGACAGAGGAAAAUCAGCUCAGGUCACGGGGCUGAACAUACCCACAGACCGACUGCAGCACAGGGACACAGAGGCCAAAAUUCUAUGCGUUAUAUGCAAAUCCACUAGUGAAUCACUCAGUAUUUGCUCACAGACAACAUCCUGCAUGGGCUCACUCCCUGCCCACAUGAAGAUUCAAGUCUAGAAGGGAAGACAGCCAUUCCAAAGAUAAAUAAGAGUGAUUAAACAAUAAAUGAGAG
rnacentral:lncRNA from 1 species